UCCCUGAUAGCUUGGUUGGUAAAGAAUCUGUGUGCAAUGCAGGAGAUCCUGGUUUGAUUCCUGGGCAGGGAA
rnacentral:tRNA from 1 species